CCUACGGGAGGCAGCAGUGGGGAAUAUUGCACAAUGGGCGAAAGCCUGAUGCAGCAACGCCGCGUGAAGGAAGACGGUUUUCGGAUUGUAAACUUCUAUCAAUAGGGAAGAAAGUAAUGACGGUACCGAAAUAAGAAGCCCCGGCUAACUACGUGCCAGCAGCCGCGGUAAUACGUGGGGGGCAAGCGUUAUCCGGAAUUACUGGGUGUAAGGGGAGAGUAGGUGGCAAGGUAAGCGAUAUGUGAAAGCCUUAAGCUUAACUUAAGGAUUGCAUAACGAACUAUCUAGCUAGAGUACAGGAGAGGAAAGCGGAAUUCCUAGUGUAGCGGUGAAAUGCGUAGAUAUUAGGAAGAACACCAGUGGCGAAGGCGGCUUUCUGGACUGAAACUGACGCUGAGGCUCGAAAGCGUGGGGAGCGAACAGGAUUAGAUACCCUGGUAGUC
rnacentral:rRNA from 1 species